AAAUAUAUAAAAGAGCAUUUCUCACAGAGAGAGAGGGAGAGAGAAAGGAGAGUCCAGAAGUGUUCCACCCAAGUUUUAGACAUUUACCUGAGAUAACUGACUUGGAAACUCGCUGCACACCUGAGAUCUGAGGCACAUUCUGGGAGGUUCUGUGGACUACACUCCCAACCUGUCCAGUGAACACCAAGGACAGGCAGGAUGAAAUUCUCUGGCUGGAGCUGAGCUCAGUGGGCUGACAGACAGAAUAAUGCUGUACCUGGCCACAAAGAAAGCUUCCUGACCAGCACACCAGGAAUCAAAUGAGGCAAUUUAACUGGAAGAGCCCACUCUGCAGGAGACAGUAAAAGCUGCCACGUACAAGAUUUAAGAGAACUGAGGAAGAAGAGGAACUACUACUUUGACACCAGGCUUGAGAAGAUGGAUUCUGUCCAGGAAAUCACACUACAUCAGCUUAUGUGCAGGUGCUCCUCUCCAAGGGCACGCCCUGGCAUGGAGGAAAUACGGCUGCACCUCCCAGCACAGCCCUUGCAGCUGGAUUUUCAUGUUGGAACAGAGAGCACCCCAAGGCAGCCCCAGUGCACCUGCCUGGAGUCGGCUGGGAAUGUAAGGUUUGGACUUUCAAUUUCAAAGCUGCUGGUUUUGUUCCUUCUGUAAGCUUUGUAGCAAUUCCUUCUAAGAUUCAGUCAGGAGUGAUACGUGCUCUGGCCAUGACCAGAGCAUCAUCCUGGAUUAAAAAUGUCCUGGAUUAAAAAUGUGCUGACUGCUCUAGGUAACCAUCCUGAGUUGUUCAUGUUCUUCUGCAGUUGGACAGAGUAAUGCAGAAUGUAUUGUGUGAAAAUUGUCACCCCAGCAAGUUAACUGGGUGCUUAUUUUGGCAGGAGAGAUUGAACAGGCUGUGAUAAAAAACAAAAAACCCCAAACAAACAAAAAAGGAAAACAGCUCCCAAUUUCUGAUCAGUAACUGGGCUUUCACAGUUUAACAGUUAGCCAGCAAAAGUUUUGGGGAAAAAUACUCCCAAACUUGUGCAAAACAAGGUUACAUGUUAAACAGGCUAAAUAAGUUUAUAUUGUGUCUCUCCCAUUACAAAUGUGUCCCUACAGUACAGUACAGUAUUUGUAUCAAUUGGGCUGUAUGCAUCCAGUGGGAGAACUAUUAAGAAAUUAAUUGAUUUCAUUGUUAGGCUGUUUCACUUCCUUCCUCCUCCUGUCCUCUCAAGUUUACAUCUUCCUUCAUUUCCUGUUCUAGCUCUAUAAAUCACUCUCCUUCUUGUAUAUCAAUAUUUGCCUUGAAACUGCAUUCCUCUCAGCCACUCAUUUUUAAAUUAGUAAGUAAAACCAUAGGAUUUCUUUGGCAUGGGUUACUCUGUGCAAGCUCUGGCUGUUGGCUGUGGUUGUUCUGCUCAUUUAUGACCAGACUGCUGGCAGUACACGCACCACACUCAGCUCCAGGUGUUCUUUCCCUCAAAACCAGAGUAGUGUCAUCUUCCAGGUUCCUCAAGCCAAGACAAACCAAAAAAUACAUCCUUGGUGUGACUAACUAGAGGUCAAACCUGUGGAGAUCCAGCAGCCUGCACAAAGAAAUUCUUCUGCCUCACCAUGCAGGUGAAAUAGUCUUCUGAUAUAAAGUUGAAUAAAAUGGCCUGAUUUCAGUCCUCUGUGGGAUAGAUACUCCUUACAUGAAGAACCAUUUGAGCUCUGUGGCAGCCUGUCAAGUGUGACUAGUUUAUCAGAGAGGAUUCUUUGCAGAAGGUAGAGCUGAUUAGAUUGGUAAAAGAGAUUCCAGAGAUCUGCAGAAGGCAAGCAGACACAGAUCUUGCUCCAGCUUCAUCCAAACUCCGCUCUACCACCCCCUGUGCAGCUCAGGAUGUGUUCCCUGUCUGGGGCAGAUACACCCAAGGCAGAAAACUCCUGCAAAAGAUUUGACAUUGUCCCUGAAACACAAAGUGGGCUGACACUGAAGAUCACUACAGGAGCUUAUUUCUCACCAUUCCCCUUUAUAGCCCUUGAGCAAGCAGGGAAACACAAAUGGUUCUUGAUGGGCAUAACUGCUGCCAAAACUGUUCUUUGGAGGAAUCAGAAAUGCAUACCUAUGCUUUAUGAGCCACUCACACAAGGACAAAGCAGACAAACUGAAUUUUAUUUGGUUUACAUUUGAAGCCUUAGAUUUUAAGCACUUUUCUUCAUGUUGGUCCAACUGACCUUGGCACUUUUAUCUUUAUGACAGAGUUUAGGUGGAGUCCAAAGAUAAAAUUCUCUCUUUGGUUUCCUGCUUCCUCUUCCUAUGAUACUUAAAACUGGUGAGCACAGGGUAUCUUUGUGAUAAUCUUACAAACAAACUGCAUGCUAGAUUUUAGAUAGUAAGCAAAUAUAAAUGUGUAUAUCAUCAUCUGCUUGUGUUUUACAGCUGCAAGUCAUACCUAUUCUUUGGGCUUAAAGCCACAGUAUUUUAUUUAAACAGUAUUGGUUGUAUGGCAGAUAAAUAAAUACAAGAAGAGACAAUUUAUCUACAUUUGCAAUGAAAGGGUCAUGAAGUCCUUGCUAUGAGGCAAUGAAAAUAACACAGAACUAUAAAUGAGGAGAUACCAUCCUCAAGUAAGCAAUGAAAAGCAUCAACAGAAGAGAGAAAAAGCCUGGAAUGAUCUUUCCAUGGCACAUGGCUCAAGCCCUGUGUUCUCCUGGGUAAGUGACACAACUUCCAUGGGGUUCAACAGCACUCUGCCUGGCGUUUGAGUAUCUGGAAGUGAGGAGGAACAGAGCAGCAAACCUUUACUUCAACCAGGCAACACAGAAAGCCUCCAACUGCAAAAUUAAACAGGGAGCUCCAGGAAAAGAGCUGCCUAAACAAAACUCCCCAAGACCUGACAUCUCCAAAACACAAGAGAAGCAGAGAAGAACUGAAAUGCCCCCAAGGACCUGUGACUCCUGAGUUUUGCUGUGAUGGAUCAGCCCUCCAGAAACAAGAUCUGGAACACCACCAUGGGCAGCACCGUGCUCAGUUUGCACAGACAGAGGGAACAUAAGUAAAACUGAUAGCAGUGAAAACUGAAAGUGCUAUGCUGGCUGAGUCAGUCCUCUAGAUGAUUACUGAUGACAUCUUAUCAUCUACAAACCCAAAACAUCUAGAAAAGACCAAUGAGAAAGACAGAAUUGAUUUUAGUGAAGACCUGCAACCUAUAUAAACAAAUGCUGUCAAUGUUGAAGUGUAAAAUUUCUUCCCCAAAAGGGCUGUGCCACCCAGGGCAGUGGUGGAGUCACUUCUUAAUAU